GUAGUAUUUAUUAGAUUGAAACCAACCGCUUCGGCGUGAUGUGGUGAUUCAUAAUAAGCUAGCGGAUCGCAUGGCUUUGCCGGCGAUGGAUCAUUCAAGUUUCUGCCCUAUCAGCUUUGGAUUGGUGGGUAUUGGCCACCAAUGGCUUUAACGGGUAACGGGAAAUUGGGGUUUGAUUCCGGAGAGGGGGCCUGAGAGACGGCCACCACAUCCAAGGAAGGCAGCAGGCGCGUAAAUUACCCAAUCAUGACACAUGGAGGUAGUGACAAUAAAUAACAAUGCCGGGCCUUUGUAGGUCUGGCAAUUGGAAUGAGAACAAUUUAAAAUUCUUAUCGAGGAUCAAUUGGAGGGCAAGUCUGGUGCCAGCAGCCGCGGUAAUUCCAGCUCCAAUAGCGUAUAUUAAAGUUGUUGCAGUUAAAAAGCUCGUAGUUGGAUUUAUGGCGGUUCCCGGGGUCCAAUUUUUGGUACAUUCGGGGACUGCCAUCCUUGGGUGGAACCUGUGUGGAAUUAAGUUUUCGUGCAGGGGAUGCCCAUCGUUUACUGUGAAAAAAUCAGAGUGCUUCWAGCAGGCUUAUG
rnacentral:rRNA from 1 species